CAGCAGCCGCCGCGGUAAUACGAAGGGUGCAAGCGUUAAUCGGAAUUACUGGGCGUAAAGCGUGCGUAGGCGGUUUGUUAAGUCUGUUGUGAAAUCCCCGGGCUCAACCUGGGAAUGGCAAUGGAUACUGGCAAGCUAGAGUGUGUCAGAGGAUGGUGGAAUUCCCGGUGUAGCGGUGAAAUGCGUAGAGAUCGGGAGGAACAUCAGUGGCGAAGGCGGCCAUCUGGGACAACACUGACGCUGAGGCACGAAAGCGUGGGGAGCAAACAGGAUUAGAUACCCCAGUAGUCCCUGUCUCUUAUAC
rnacentral:rRNA from 1 species